rnacentral:rRNA from 1 species
GAGGUUUGAUCAUGGCUCAGGAUUGAACGCUGGCGGGAUGCUUUAUGCAAGUCGAACGGCAGCACGGACUUCGGUCUGGUGGCGAGUGGCGAACGGGUGAGUAGUCAUCGGAACGUGCCUAGUAGCGGGGGAUAACUAGCGUGAAAGCGUAGCUAAUACUGCAUACGCCCUUCGGGAAAGUAACUCGGGCCUCGCACUAUUAGAGCGGCCGAUAUCGACGAGUUAGUUGGUGGGGUAACGGCUCACCAAGGCGACGAUCCGUAGCUGGUUUGAGGACGACCAGCCACACUGGGACCGAGACACGGCCCAGACUCCUACGGGAGGCAGCAGGGGAAUUUGGACAAUGGGAAUCCCUGAUCCAGCCAUCCCGCGCAAAGGGGAUGAAGGCCUUCUGGGUUGUGGAAGCACUUUUGGCAGGAAGAAACGGCACGGGAUAAUACCCCGCAACUGACGGUACCUGCAGAAUAAGCACUGGCUAACUACGUGCCAGCAGCCGCAAUACGUGUAGGUGCAAGCGUUAAUCGGAAUUAUUGGGCGUAAAGCGUGGCGCAGGCGGUUCGGAAAGAAAGAUGUGAAAUUCCAGAGCUUAACUUUGGAACUGCAUUUUUAACUACCGAGCUAGAGUGUGUCAGAGGGAGGUGGAAUUCGCGUGUGUAGCAGUGAAAUGCGUGUGGUAGAUAGAGAGGAACACCACGGCGGUUGGCAGCUCUCCUGGGAUAACACUGACGCUCAUGCACGAAAGCGUGGGGAGCAAACAGGAUUAGAUACCCUGGUAGUCCUACGCCCUAAACGAUGUCAACUAGCUGUUGGGCUCUCUUCGCCUUGGUAGCGCAGCUAACGUGGUGAAGUUGACCGCCUGGGGAGUACGGUCGCAAGAUUAAAACUCAAAGGAAUUGACGGGACUCCGCACAAGCGGUGGAUGAUGUGGAUUAAUUCCGAUGCAACGCGAAAAACUCACUUACCCUUGACAUGUCUGAAUCCCGAAGAGAUUUGGGAGUGCUCGCAAGAGAACCGGAACACAGUGCUGCAUGGCUGUCACCAGCUCGUGUCGUGAGAUGUUGGGUUAAGUCCCGCAACGAGCGCAACCUCUAUGUCAUUAGUUGCUGCGCGAAAGGGCACUCCAAUGAGACUGCCGGUGACAAACCGGAGAAGGCGUGGGGAUGACGCUUCGGGUCCUCAUGGCCCUUAUGGGUAGGGCUUCACACGUCAUACAAUGGUCGGGAUGAGAGGGUCGCCAACCUGCGAGGGGGAGCCAAUCCCAGAAACCCGAUCGUAGUCCGGAUCGCAGUCUGCAACUCGACUGCGUGAAGCUCUGAAAUCGCUAGUAAUCGCGGAUCAGCAUGUCGCGGUGAAUACGUUCCUGGUCUUCGUACACACCGCCCGUCACACCAUGGGGAGUGGUUUACCAGGAAGUAGUUAGCCCAACUGCAAGGGAGGGUGAUUAAUACGGUAGGAUUCAUGACUGGGGUGAAGUCGUAAUAAGGUAG